rnacentral:misc_RNA from 1 species
AGGGAUCAUUACCGAGUUUACAACUCCCAAACCCCUAUGUGAACGUUACCAAACUGUUGCCUCGGCGGGUUUAUUUCAUGCCCCGGGCGCGUCGCAGCCCCGGACCAAGGCGCCCGCCGGAGGACCAACCAAAACUCUUUUGUAUGUCCCUCGCGGACUUUUAUAAUUCUGAACCAUCUCGGCGCCCCUAGCGGGCGUUUCGAAAAUGAAUCAAAACUUUCAACAACGGAUCUCUUGGUUCUGGCAUCGAUGAAGAACGCAGCGAAAUGCGAUAAGUAAUGUGAAUUGCAGAAUUCAGUGAAUCAUCGAAUCUUUGAACGCACAUUGCGCCCGCCAGUAUUCUGGCGGGCAUGCCUGUCCGAGCGUCAUUUCAACCCUCGAACCCCUCCGGGGGUCCGGCGUUGGGGAUCGGCCCUUUACCGGCCGGCCCCGAAAUACAGUGGCGGUCUCGCCGCAGCCUCUCCUGCGCAGUAGUUUGC